GUGAGCCGCUUGUCUGGCCAACAAUUGUUUUGUUAAAACCUAUCACCAAGGGUUGGGCAUAUGGAUCAAGCUGGAUUGUCUGAAUUCAUUCCCUAGAAUUUGGACCUUGAGGAAAUAAGACAAUGAGUGAAAAGAUGGGCUGGCACUUGCUUGUUCCAGCAUGGUGAUGAGACUGCCACUCCCGCCUCCUGGACCCUGGGUGUGUGGCCUGGCCUGGGGAAGGUGCUUGGGGGUGUUGAGGCCUGGCCUGGCCUGGGGAAGGUGCUUGGGGGUGUUGAGGCCUGGCCUGGCCUGGGGAAGGUGCUUGCACAGGGUGACAUCAUUUCAGGGAGUAGUUGCCUCUGUCCCUGGCCAGUCUCCAGUCUCCAGCUUCAUAUCCUCCCGCUGGAGAGCAGAGACGAUGGGGGUGUCCCUGUGUAUGCUUAAGUGCAAUGGCAUUUUAAGAAAACUAUUAGCAAUUUUAUGAAACUAAAUUGCUGCUGUUUUAUUAGCAGCCACAGUCAGCAAGGCCCUGGCUGGGUGCUUGCUCCGUGAAGCUGUAUACGUGUGACUGCCUCAGCAGUGCUGGCUGCUCCUGCUCUCGAAUCUAAAAAGCAGCUGGACAAAAUGUUCACGUUUUCGCUCAAAACCAAACAAACAGAAAAACUCAAUUAGCUUGUUUGUGUGGGCUGAAGCACCUCUGUUUGCCCGCCCCCCGCAGUGACCCCCAUAGUGUCCCCGGAAUGGACGGACUCACGGGCUGUCACAUCGCGCACAUCUUCCCCGGAGAAGGGAUGUGAAUCUUGGUGGGGUGGGGGGCACUACCUGGCCCAGCACAGGGUGCAGGUGGGUGACCCGGGAGACUCUCCCCGCUCCAGACCUGUCAUCAUGUUGCCAUCUGAGGCGGCACUCACAGGUUUGCGGGGCUGCACAUCUUUGGGGGCCUCCACUCAGCCUGGCACAGUGUGUGCCCAGCAAGUAGACGACCGCAUCCUCGCCAGCACACAUGUGCUAGAAACUUCUGUCAGGAAACGCCGCUCUUCACAGCCAAGGGUGGAAACUACUGGAUGCAUUGCAGAGCUGACGCCCUCCCUCCGGCCUGGCUCCGAGCCAUGCCUGGUGUGGUGGAGGGGUGGAGGCCACCCUCACCGGGCCCUGUGUGCUGCUCUGAUGCCGCUGAGGGGGCCGGGGCCUGGGUGUGCCCUCAGCGCGUCCACUGCAGAGGGGAGCCUGCGCCCACGUUUUGGCUCUGUGGGUAAAGGUGGCCACCCCCUGAGCUUGUAGGGGUGUGGGACACUUCCCGAUGCUGCCUGCCAUGAUUUUACAUGAAAAGCCGGGAAAAGGCACUGAGGAGCCACCUGACCCCACGGAAUGCCAUUUCCUGGUGUCGCUUGGCCAGAAGUCAUUGACACAGCCCUGCCAGCCGGAAGCUGGGGCAGGGACGGGGUCCUGCCUUCUGGGACAGGUUCUGUGUGUGCGCGACCAUGUCCCAGAGGUCUCUGCUCAGCCCUGGGGGCCGGUGGGGGUGGGGUUGGAGGGUGGAUGGUGGGGGUGGGGCCAAGUUAGCCCGAGCGGUCUGUGAGGUGAGAAGGGCCGGGGUCUCUCCUCCUCUCCUCCGCACCCCACCCCGCCUUGCUCUGAAUCUCUCCCUCUCUCUGUCUCUGUUGGUCUCUUUCCCUCUCUACUCCCCAUUCUGGUGUCUUUGGAGCCCUGGGUAAGGUGUGUGCUGAGUCCGGUCUGGUUUGGGGUAGAUGUUCUUUGAUCUGUUACCACACCUGGAGGGAAAGCCCCUGGCCCGCCCCCCCUCCGUUCCUGCAGAGCCAGGCCCCCCAACCAGUCGGUGGGCAGGAUGCCCACCAGUUGCCCCCAUCUGGCCCAGGGGGACCUUUCCUCUGCUCUCCAGGGACCACUGCAGGUGGUGUGGCCCCUGAGGGGAGCAUAAGGGUGCAGUGCCUGACUCAGGGGACACAGAAGCCCCGUCCAUACGGCCUUUUACACAGCACAGCACCCAGCCCUCGGCAGCCCAGAGCAGGAACCAACAGGGUGCAGACACCCCCACCCAGAGGUUGCAGCUCGGAUGGAGAAACAGGCUGGGUCACAAAAGCCCCGGGAGGCAGCCCCUGCUGUCUGGCGUCUUCUCUGGGGAAAGCUUUCCGGAGCCUGAUGGAGGAAGACAGAGGAAAGAGACCUGUGUUCCCUGAUGCACUGGCCAGCUGCUUCCCGGGGAGGAGGAGGCAGAAAUAUACAGUAACUGAUUGUUGCCUUUGGUCUGUGAACUGUACUAUGGAACACUGGAACUUACUCCUUCACCUGACUGCAUGUUUGUGCCCCAUAACCAGCCUCACUUUCUGUCUGCCUCUCACCCACACACCCUGCCUAGCCUCUGGGAACCACCAGCCAACUCUCUGCCUCUGUAAGAGCCACUCUUUCAGUGCCCACAAAUGAGUGAGAACAUGGUACAUUUGUCUUUCUACCCCGGCUUACUUCCCUUAACAUGACAGCCUUCAAUUCCAUCCAUGUUGUUGCAAACGACAUGAUUUCAUUCUUGUUUAUGGCUGCGGAGUAUUCCAUUGCGUAAGAUACCACGUGUUCUGUAUCCAUUCAUCCAUUGAUAGGCACCCAGGUUGAUUCCAUUUGGCUUUUGAAAGUGUGUAGUUGGAGAAUCCAAUGUGCCCCCUCGGGUUUUCAAAAUGUGGGCAUCUUGAGUGCGGGAAAGGAAGUGCCUGCCGCUCCCCAGGGCACCCGGUGGCAUCUGCAGAGGGGAGGCAGCCACAGCAGGCCUGCCGUGGUGACAGCAAAUAGCCAGGCGGCCAGGGAGGCUCCUGCGGUGACAGCCCCGGGUCACAGGGUCAGAAGCAGCCCACCGGGGCCGGGGUGGCUUGCGUCAGUUUGGGAACAUUUUAAGCCAUUACCACUUUAAAUACUGAUUUUGCCUAUUCUUUCUCUCCUUCCCAGAACUCCAGUUACUCACGUGUGGUGUCUUCUCAUUGUGUCUGCUGUCUCUUCCCAUCUCACUGGGGCAGUAGGGCUGCCAUAAGCCAGCACCACAGACCAGGGGCUCCACAACCCUGGUGGCUGCAAGUUCAAGAUCAACACAGGGACAGGGUUAGUCUAGUGAGGCCUCUCUUCCUGGCUUGUGGAGGGCCACCUGCUCCCUGUGUGCACAAGGCCUUUUCUCUGUGCACACGCAUGUGCACGCGCACACACGUGCACACACACGCACACACGUGCACACACACGUGCACACACACGCACACAUGCACACACACGCACACACAUGCACACACACGUGCACACACACGCACACAUGCACACACACGCACGCAAUCUGGUGUCUCUUCCUCUUCUCAUAAGGACUCCAGUCCUAUCGGAUCAGGGCCCCACCCUGCUGGCUGCACUUCACCUUAAUUACCUCCCUAAUGUCUUCUCUCCAGACAGACUCUCCUUGGUGGGUGGGGCUUUGUGAGGGUUUGAAUGUCCGUGUUCCCCGAAAUUCAUCUGUUGAAAUCCUCACCCCCAAGGCGAUGGUGUUAGGAGAUGGGGCCUGUGGUAGGGACGGGGUCCUGAAGGUGGACCGCUGAUCAUGGGAUCGGUGUCCUCAUAAAAGAGGCCCCAGAGCGCCCCUCCCCCAUCCCCCAUGUGAGGACGCAGUGACACACCAGGGAAGCCGGUCCUCACCACACACGGAAUCUGCCGGUACCUUGAUCUGAGACUCCCCAGUCUUCAAAGCUGUGAGAAAUGCAUUGUUGUUUCUGAGCCCCCAGUCUAUGGCAUUUUGUUAUGGCAGCCAGAACUAAGCCAGGCUUCCGCAUGGGCAUUCUGGGAGGACGCGGUUCAGUCCCUCACACUUGCUCUCUCUAUUUUCCUCCUUAUGCUUCUGUCCUUCAUUCUGAGAAUCUUCUUCUGACCUACUUUCUAGUUAUUCAUUAUUGUUCAGUGAUAUCUAAACUAUUUUUAAACCCACUUAUUGAGUUCUGAAAUGUUGCUUGUAUUUUUCCCAGGCAAUCAUCUUUGUAUUGCAUUUACAAAUAGGCAUAGAAAUAGAGACUGCAAUAAGAAAAUAGAGAACGCAAUGAGAAAAGUUGGAGUUCUAAAAAGAAAGUGGAGGGAGAAUAGGAAGAAUACAAUCAGCAAAGAAAAAAAACCCAAAUCUUUCCUUUUUGUGUAAUUUUUAUUUCUCCACUGAAGUUCUUGACCUUCUCUUUUUCUUCUCAUGGACAAUGUCUCCAGCGCUCUCUGCAGCCGGCGUCUGAGGGUGCUGCGUCUGCAUUCUCAUGUAGAUGUUUUCAUUUGCUGGGUUUCUCACCGCUUAUACUCACAUUGCCAUCUCUCCAUGUGUGCCUGGCUCUUUCUUUCUUUGCCUGACAUUCUGUUUGCAGUGUUUUGGAAGGAGAAUCUGAGGCCAGAAUGAUGGCUCCUCCAGAGAGGGUGAGCUUGAGUGCCAGCAGCUUGGAGGGGCAGGGCGGUGGCUCUGGUGUCCUGUGGUUUGCGUGGGCUCUCUCUGCACUUACACUCACAAAAAGUAUCUCAGGCAGGAAUUCUCGCAGGGUGCAGGCUUCUCUUUUGACAGUUUAAUGUCACGCGUGGGUUCCUUUGUAAACAUCAGAUCAAUAGCGGAGUUCCAGAUUAAAACAUUAGGAUAAGAAGCCCAUGUUGACUCAUCCGUCCCUGGAAUGGCCUAGAAGACGGGGCACUUGGUGUUCGGGGAUGCGUCUGUCUCAGGCCGGCCUCCAUGGGUCAGGCAGCCUAGGGUGGGAGGAGGAGGGCGGCGGGCAGCCCCACAGCCGAGAUUCAGGAGAAAGGAAGAGCCACUCACUUUCUCUUCUUCACAAAGUCCUGGGAACGCAGGGAGGGGAGACGGGGUCUCGCUCUCAAAGGCAGCUCUGUAGCCAAACUGCUGCCUCCAGGCAGGAAGAGAAUCCCCGCUCAGAAGAAAGGUGGGCCACCCCUGAUGACGGCAGGUGGCCCCAAGUGUUUGGAUGCGGUGGGCCCCACUGGUUUGGGCCUAACCUCAAGUGGCUGCUAAUGGUUCCAUGAUACUCUUCCAGCUAACACUUCACAGAGAUGUCUGACUGAUGUCCACUGCUCAGCUGCACCCCUGAGCUGGUGAGCAUUCAGGUAGAGCACCCACCUCUACUUUUCUCACCCCGAAAAUCAGAGACUGGUUCUCAGCUGGUGCAGCCACCGCCCCAGCGUACCGGAUGCAGGACUUUCCCUGCGAACACUGGACAGUCCCAGCAAAGCAGACGGUGGGUCGCUCUGUAUCUCUGAAGAACAGCUGGGCCUGCGUGUGUCAUUCUCAGGCAUCUGGCCCAGGGCUUCUCCUCCAGGAAGGUGGCUGCUCAGCUCCGGGCACUGCCAGGGGCCACGGACCCCGCCUCCUUUCCAGGCUGUUCCACAGCAUCUGCCUUCAUACUCACAGCCACCGCGGCGUGCGUCCCAGGGAUUCUCAGAAUAGAAUUCUGUGCCUCUCUCGCCUCUGGAAGUGACCGCGCUCUGUAGGAAAAUAUCACAGCACGCCGGCCUCGAAAGGCCACGACGUGGCUCUAAACUGCUCUAAGUAUGUCAGUUACUUAGAACAAUCAGAAAGGGGCAGAACAAGCUGGGGUGUGGAGUCAGGGGUCAGGGCACAGACAGCACCUCUUGUCUUGCAGAGAGAAUGCUAGCAAUUUGCAAGUUACUUGAAAAGGUUUGUGAUUUUCCAACGCCCUGAGUAAUUCUAGCCAAAAUGCGUGACUCGCCUCACACUAGAUGCUUGCUGUAAUUGUGUCUCUGUAUUAAACUGACCGUUCUUUGGAGCUUCAGAAUGGACCAGGAGGAAAAGGUAAAUACCAACCUCGCUACAACCUCAGAGGCAUCAACGCCCUCCUGCUACAGACGCAUCUGUUCUCGCCUGGCUCCUGCCGGCUGCCCUGGGAGAGGCCACAAAAUGCCCUCCACGGAGACAAGGCCUGAGAACCUUCGGGACGCCCGCUGCCGCUCACUGUGUUGAAGAACUGCCCGUUCCGCACCCCGGGCCCUAGACACACGGCUCUGUGGAGGACGAGGAAGUGCCGUCAGGUGAGACUUCACCGUGAAAUAUCUUCUGAGACACAACAAUCUCCCUGAAUUAAAACUACAGACUCUAAUUUAUAAAAACUGUGUGUUUCAAAAGCUCCAAGUGUUUACAUUCUCCGAUUCAUCAUUCCUUCUUCUAAUUUAUUUUAGGAAAUAAUGCAAAGUACUCACAAAAAUUUAUAUAGAAAGAUGUUCAUUGCAGAAUUCAUUAUAAUAAAAACCUUUAAAUGCU